rnacentral:rRNA from 1 species
AUUGAACGCUGGCGGCAGGCCUAACACAUGCAAGUCGAACGAGUGGCGGACGGGUGAGUAAUGUCUGGGAAACUGCCCGAUGGAGGGGGAUAACUACUGGAAACGGUAGCUAAUACCGCAUACCAUCGGAUGUGCCCAGAUGGGAUUAGCUUGUAGGUGAGGUAACGCCUCACCUAGGCGACGAUCCCUAUCUGGUCUGAGAGGAGGACCAGCCCCAGUGGAACUGAGACACGGUCCAGACUCCUACGGGAGGCAGCAGUGGGGAAUAUUGCACAAGGGGCGCAAGCCUGAUGCAGCCAUGCGGCGUGUAUGAAGAAGGCCUGCGGGUGGUAAAGUACUUUCAGCGGGGAGGCGUUACCCGCAGAAGAAGCACCGGCUAACUCCGUGCCAGCAGCCGCGGUAAUUC